UAGGAAUUUGAUCUAACAUAUAUAUAUAUAUAUAUAUUAUGCAUUUAUUUAACCAACAAGAAAGUCAAAUUUUCUCUAUCAUCUGUCUGGGUUUUUUAAUCUGUUUAUCUAGCUAGUUUACAUAUUUGGUUUUCCAUAUUGCUUGAAUUUUUCUUUUUUCCCCCCUCUAUGCUUAAUAUUAUAUAAUGGACGUGAGAUUCACAUCAUAUUAAUUAUAACAUAUUAUAAGAGAUUAUAUUUAACAAACUUUGAUGCAUGAUUGGUAUAGCUUAUUAUUAUUUUUUGUAUAUAAGAGUAUUUCAUGAUUAUUAUAUAAUGAAUUUCAUUAUUAUAUUAUAAAUGAUUGUGAGUUGGCAUAUUGGUUUCAUGAUUACUUGUAAUAAAGAUACUUUGAUGCAUGAUUUGUUUUUUCCUCAACCAUUGUCCUAUCUAGGAAUAAAGAACAAAAUAUGAUCUUUUGAGUUUUGGCAAACAUUGCACUGUCCGAGAAAGAAAACAGAGAGAUAGAUAGUAAGUUCUCAUCUUUUGAAUGGGUCAGGGGACACCAUUUUCAGUGGAGGCUAGACCUCAGGUGCUUUUUUCUUCCCAUAUAUAUACGUACACAGCUAUUAACUUGAAACUUUCAUUUACGAGAAAUGUUAAUAAUACUGACCUUUAUUUUUCUAUUUUCCUUUUUUUCUUUUUUCUUUUGCUAUGCCUAUUUCAUCAUAGAAUCUCUUAUGCAUAUAUGUUCAGGUAUGACAAAGUUGAGAUAGCAUAGAAAACUAGAGAAGAGAAAUAUGCAAUGUGAAAAACUUUGUACUCCCCAAAUAUAUGAUGUUUUGUGUCAUUUUAUGAAUCUACAAGGACUAAAUUUUAACAUUUUGUGGAAAAGAAUAAUAAUAAUAAUAACAUAUAGGAAGCUCUGCUAUCUGUAGGUAGUUUGAAUUUUGUCCAGUUUAUGAUGUUCAUCAACAAAUUUCCGUCUCUGCUACUGCUAGCUUUGGUUUCACAGAUUGAAUAUGCAACUGUGAGGACUUCUGUUGAAGAAGAGGAUGAACAAACGGGUAUCUUCCUUCUGUCACUGGGACUGUAGUGCAACUAAUCGAGGCAGGUUACUGAUUUUGGCUGAUCAUCUUAUACUUUACCAUAUGUAAGUUUUUACAUAUUGCAGAUAAACUAUUACACACAAUGAAUAAAUAUUUACCAAUAA